rnacentral:rRNA from 1 species
CCUACGGGUGGCAGCAGUGAGGAAUAUUGGACAAUGGACGAGAGUCUGAACCAGCCAAGUAGCGUGAAGGAUGACUGCCCUAUGGGUUGUAAACUUCUUUUAUAUGGGAAUAAAAUGUUCCACGUGUGGGAUUUUGUAUGUACCAUAUGAAUAAGGAUCGGCUAACUCCGUGCCAGCAGCCGCGGUAAUACGGAGGAUCCGAUCGUUAUCCGGAUUUAUUGGGUUUAAAGGGUGCGUAGGUGGAUUGUUAAGUCAGUUGUGAAAGUUUGCGGCUCAACCGUAAAAUUGCAGUUGAAACUGGCAGUCUUGAGUACAGUAGAGGUGGGCGGAAUUCGUGGUGUAGCGGUGAAAUGCUUAGAUAUCACGAAGAACUCCGAUUGCGAAGGCAGUUCACUGGACUGCAACUGACACUGAGGCUCGAAAGUGUGGGUAUCAAACAGGAUUAGAUACCCGGGUAGUC